CGCGGCCGGCAGCCGCACGCUGGAGCUGCGGGCGCAGCCUCACGGCGCCCGCACGGGUCAGGCCCCGCCGUGGGACCCGGCGUGAGCGGGGCCGGGGAUACUCUGCCCGCCACCCUCUGAUGGGAUUUCGGCUGGAUUGCGAGCCCUACCAGCGGGAGCUCUGCCUGCCUGAGCACCUGGCCCUUUAAGCAAAGGGACACAUUUCUGCAGACACCAUCCCAGAGGCUCAGCAGAUGGCUGUGCGGCGCUCACUGGGCUGGCCGGCGUGGAGCCCUCAUUCAGAACUGUAAAAACCAGGAGGCAUUCAUGCAAGCAGACCAAGACUGGGAAUGCUAAAUGUUGCACACUCAAAACCAUAUGAGCAAAGCGUUUGUUUGCCCUCAAACUUAGGGAACAGCCUACUAACACAGGUGAUAGAUGAUAAAGGAUGGGCUGCGGGAAGUGGAGCUUGCUGGAGUAAGGGCCAAGGGUGUCUGGCUGGUGAGCUCUUUGCCUCUUGGGUGCUGCAGGGGGUGGCCUCCCUUCUUCCCCAUUUCAUGCAAGGGAAGGUGGGAUGCUGGGUAAGGAUCUAAUAGGGGGAAGAAACAUGUUCGUGGGCAUCCUCCAAAGACAGAUUUCAUUUUCUUUGAAGAUCUGUGCUCUCUUUUCUGUUAAAACAUAUGGAAAUUGAGUGCAUUGUGGCCUAAAGUCAUGUGGAUGUUGUUUUUUCUGUUGUGACUAAGGAUUCAAUACUGUGUAGCACCCUGUAAUGUGGUCUGAUAGGGCAUCUUCAGUUUGCCACUGUAGACAAGUUUCUUUGAUUGCUUUGUGACUAGAGCAAUUGGAAACAUAUUCCAAACACAAUGAUGGGAAGAAAGGGAGGCCUGUAUUUCCCUUCAGCGCUCUCCAUGUGAUCUCUUUGGAUCAUGUACCCAUGCAGUUUUCUGUGGUUCCAUUGCAUACCCCAAGUGAAGUAAAAGAAGCUUUCUUGACCUAAAAGGAGCUGUUCUUUCAAAGCUUGGGGUUUUCCAGGUUUGUAAUAAAAGUAUCAUUGUGUUUCAUAAAGGUAGAGCUUCUGCAAGUGCAGUUCAUAAACAAUGUCAUGGGAUGUUUUCAGAGCAGCUCAAGGUCCGCUCGACUUUCACAGAGAUCAUAAAAGUCUUGCUGUUGACAAUAUUCUGCUUUACCUCGAGUUCUUAUUGCAGCAGAAAGAGAGGUCUCUCAUGGUCCUGUGUCAUAUGUGCAAGCCUUUCUG